rnacentral:rRNA from 1 species
CCCUUAGAUGUUCUGGGCCGCACGCGCGCUACAAUGGUCUUCGCAAACGGAUGCAUUCUCGAAGGAGAAUGCCAAUCUUGGAAUCUAUGCCUUGGUCGGGACAGUUGCUUGCAAUUUUUCGACUCGAACCAGGAAUUCCUUGUAAUCGUGAUUCAUCACAUCACGAUGAAUACGUCUCUGCCCUUUGUACACACCGCCCGUCGCUCCUACCGAUCGAAGAGUUAGGUGAAUUGUUUUGAUCGAUAAGAUUUGACUAUGGUCAACUCUCGUUGUGAAAUUCUGUGAAUCUGACUGUUUAGAGGAAGGAAAAGUCGUAACA